GUGCUUACUUUUGCAGCAUAUACACUAAAAUUGGAAUGAUGCAGAAAAGAUUAGCAUGGCCAUGUGCAAGGGUGACGUGCAAAUUCAUGAAGCAUUCCAUAUUUUU